AGAGACGGGGAGAAGGAUGGGGAGAAAUGAGGAACAGGAAGAAGAUUCCGAGAGAAAUAAAGAGGCCGAGAGGAGCUGAGCCAGGCAGCCGGUGGAGCAGGCAGAUGGAACAACAGAGACAAAGAACAGAGCCACAGAGUGGGCACACAGCAAGGCCUGGCAGCCAAGCCCUGUGGGUUUGGUGGGAGCAGAUGCUUGUAUGGGAGCAGCAGCUGAUGGCCCCCAGCACGUGCAUCCUUGUUGACUCCAGGCCCAGCACAGCCUCCUCGGCAGCCGGCCUUAGCCUGGAGGAGCAACCCUGGUCCAGAGAGGCAGACGAAUGGCAGCCCUGCCCCGUGGGGGCUCCGGUUCUUCUCCUCCAUCCUCCUCCAGGCUCCGCCCACCUGCUCCGUCUGCCUCCCAGGGCCUCGUGAAUCCCAGGGAAGCCAUGAGCUGCCACAUCACGCCCGGAAGGAAGCGGGCUGCGUUGGAGGGUUGAAGAGAUGAAGGCGCAGAGGCAUGAACUCCCGUAGCCAGAGAGUGUGAGCUGGACUCUACCUGGAGCAGCCUCGGUGCAGAGCCCAUGCCCCCAACCAUGUCCGUGGUCGAGGCCCAGCCCAGACAGGGCACAAAGGGGCUGAGGAAGAGGAAGUAAGAUGCCAGGGUUGCCAUGCAGGAGGGCAACCCCAAGUGAGAUGGGCAUCGUGGCCUAGGGCCCACCUUCCGGAAGAGCUCAUCAGAACUUCGGACACACUGCAUGGGCCUAGACCCAGGGCUCGUUGAGCUCCUCCCUCGGAUUGGCUUCGAAUUUUAGCUCCCUCUGAAUGAUGAUCAGUGAGGCCCUGCAAGACAGCCUCCCGAGGCCGAGCCACCGAGCUACAGGACGAAGAUGAUCUUUCUGGGCUCCUGAUGUCCAGACCCUGUCUUGUCUUUCAGCAUGUUCAGAAUACCUGUGGCUGCUGUGGGCAGAGAGGAGGUACCGGGGAAGUCCUGGCAGACUUAUCUAUCGGCAGAGAGACUGAGUCUCCAUGCCACCCCAAUUCCCCCUGCCCUUUUGACUGAGCUCUGAACACAAGUUAGAGGAGCUGGGGGAAAGCUCCAAGCAGUCAAUACAUCAACCAGUGAGCACGUGACAUGUCCUGUCUCGUGCUCAGCGCUGGGGAGGACAUCCCCACAAAUAUCACAGCUCAAAUUCACUGGUUGGGAAGGCAAGACUCACAGGCAGAGAAGAGUCAAAAAACUAUUAAAGAGGCCCCUGGCAUAGUCUGAGGAGCCCUGGAUAGAGGUAAGACCAGAGUUCUAUCCCCAGGCCUCAGGCCUGAAGCAGGUCCCUGUACUUCCAAAAGCUCCAGCUACACCAAGUUAUAGACAACUUCUCAUGGCCUGGAUUGUGGAUGGCAGUGGCGCAUCUGAUUGAUGGGUACUGAUGCCUGGAGCACUGUGCUGAGGAGGAAUCCGAGGCAGCAGCAAGUUUAGUAGGACUGUGAUGGCCAACCGGCGAGGCGAGCGAAGCUGACCAGUAAGGAAACCCAGCAAUGCAGUUGAGACACCAUGGCCGGAUCUGUGGAUUCUAGGGACCAGGAAGAGGCAGGAACAGCUGUAGACUGAGGAAGGAGGGCCUUGCUUGAGCCAUCAGUCACACAAACAGAUCCAAGCAAAGAACAGGGCAAGGUGGACACAGAUCAAAGAUGGGCACUAAAUGCCACUGGGUUAGGGCUUGCUUUAGACCCCCCCAAGUCCUACAUAAUCUACUGGAAACAACAAAAAGUGUCCCAACCCUCUGGGAAUAGGCAAGAAGGUGUGGGAGGUCAUGAAAUUCCAGGGACGUGGGGCUCAGCCUGUGAGGAUGGGAAUAGAGCCUGCCAUGGUCUUAACACCAGCCCAGAGGCAGAAGGCAACUGUCUAAAUAAAGAUCUCAUUUCAGACAAA
ensembl:lncRNA LINC02731 long intergenic non-protein coding RNA 2731